rnacentral:rRNA from 1 species
CGGACGGGUGAGUAACACGUGGAUAACCUACCUAUAAGACUGGGAUAACUUCGGGAAACCGGAGCUAAUACCGGAUAAUAUAUUGAACCGCAUGGUUCAAUAGUGAAAGACGGUUUUGCUGUCACUUAUAGAUGGAUCCGCGCCGCAUUAGCUAGUCGGUAAGGUAACGGCUUACCAAGGCAACGAUGCGUAGCCGACCUGAGAGGGUGAUCGGCCACACUGGAACUGAGACACGGUCCAG